rnacentral:miRNA from 1 species
CUUCCAGCCAUCGAGAUUGUAUGGUCCCAAUGACCGGAGGGAAUCCCUUCCGGUCAUCAAUGGUCUUGAUGACCGGAAGGGAUUCCUUCCGGUCAUCGGGACCAUACAAUCUCGAUGGCCGGAAG